GUACUUGCUUAGGCAGUACCUUUUCUAAAUUGGAACGAUGCAGAGAAGAUUAGCAUGGUCCCUGCACAAGGACGACAUGCAAAUCAUGAAGCGUUCUACAUUUUU